GACUCAGGCAGCGCGGCCCCGGGGAUCGGGGGGAGACUCGGUCGGGUGGCCAGCAAGACCCUUUCCCGGGAUUUUACCCAACUACAGCGAAUGGACAAUCAGCAUCUUCCUGAGAUUUUUCCUUGACACGGAAAGUGGAUAUUUCCCGAUCAACACACACAAAGUCCUGGAGGAUCUCAGCGGGUCAAGCAGCGUGUGAUAUGGGAGAUGUACAGUCGAUGUUUCAAGCCGAGACCUUACCUCAAGAUUGGAAAGAAAGACGGGAGAUAGCAGUGGAAACGGGUGUGAGGAAGGGGCGGAGCAACAACUGGAUCCAGAUGAGGAUGGGGUGAGCUGCUGGAAGACUGGAGGGUGGCUCAGGUGCUGCCGUAAGAAGGGCUGGAAGGUCACACCAGGGAACCAGGGGAGUCCAGAACCAGAGGGCAGAGAUUGAAGGUGAGGAGGAAGGAGGUACAGGAGCCUGAAGGCACACACUCAAUGAUUCAGGAACAACAACUUCCUCUCUGCCGUUCAAUUUCUGAAUGGACAUUGAAGCCAUGAACGUGUACUGCAGCCUCAAGGACAACAAAUUUCACAACAGAAGCCGGUGAUACUAAACCUGAUUCUGGUUCAGGGGGAGCCGGCAAGGUGGAUUCAGAAUUGGCUCGAUGAACAGAUACUGAUGGUGGAAGGUCAAUUAUCUGACUGAAGGCGUCUGCUAGUGGGAUGCUCGUGAGGUUAUUGCUGGAAUCUCGAUAAUUUAUUAAUUAUGUAAUGAUUUGUUUGUGAAUGUACACAGUAUGAUUAACAAGUUUGCUGAUGCAACCAUAUUAGGGGGGGUCUUGUUGACAGAGAAGCAAGUGACAAUGAAUUCCAAAGGGAUGUUGAUCAUUUAGGGGAAUAGGCUGAGGAAUGCAAAUGGAUUUCAAUCUCGAUAAAUGUGAGAUAAUGUACUUUGGACAUUUAAACCAUUGUAGAACUUGUACAGAAUGGCGGGGCACUGAUGAGUGUUGUGGAACAGAGGGACCUGGGUGUACAGAUGCACAGUUCACUGAAAGGGUGAACGUAGACUGGGUGAUGAGAAAGUGUUUUGCAUGCUGGAGUAGGGACACAAUGUUGCAGUUAUACAAGUCACUUGGAGUAUUGUGUCCAGUUUUGGUCACCCUGUGACAGGAACGGUAUUGUCAAGCUGAAGAGGGUGCAGAGGAGAUUUAUGUGAAAACCAUCAGGCCAAAUUUAUACAGAGAGGUUGGCCACACUGGAUAUUUAUUCCUGGGAAUGUUGGAAAAUGAGAGGUGACCUCAUAAAAGUUAAUAAAAUCAGGAAGGGUCAGGAUAAGGUGGAUGGUCAUGCCCUUUUCCGGAGGACUGGAGAGAACGCAGAUACAGUUCAUGAUGGGAGAGAUUUGAAAGAGACCCGAGGUGUAAAUUCUUCACAGAGAGGGUAGUUAGUACCUGGAACGAGCUGCCAGAGGAAGUGGUCGAGCUGGGUACAACUGCAACAUUUACAUUUGGAUAGGUACACGGAUGGAAAGGGCUUGGAGGGUUAAGGGCCAAACACAGGCAUCUGGGACCAAUGGGUAAUAUGAUCACUAUGGGCCGGUGGGCUGAGGGACCCUUUACCCAGCUGCCUGACUCAAUCACUCGAUAACUGAGGACAGAUAGAUCUACACAAUGUGAUGUUUUAACACCAUCCAUUUUAAACACUGUGUGUCAGUGUGUUUUAUGUAAACACAGUCUGACUUCUACAUUCAAUUAAGAUCAAUGAAGAUUGAAAUUUGAUCAAGAAUUAGGCAGCAAUUAGCCUGUUGGCUUUAAUGAUGCUGGGAUUGAAUCCAGAAAUGACCUAAUCUGGUCCUGCUAGACAUUCAUGGAAUUCACAACGGUUGUAUCAUAAUACAUAAUAUUGG